UUAUUUUACUUACAACUAAACAAAAUCCUGUUUAUUAUAAACAUAUGCACUCUUAUCAAAAUAGCCUAUAUAAUUUAGCUUACAUAUGUUUCUUUCGCAUUAUUAAUUUUUCUUUGUAUUGCAGUUCUUAUCCUAUUUUUCUCCCUUGUAUCUUCACCCCUUCACAUCUCUUCCUUGGAAAUACCAAGGAAGAGAUUGUGGAAGGAAGGGGCACAUCUACAGAUUGCCUUUCAUUAAUUAUCUCGCCAUUCUCACUUCCUUCCCAUAUCUUCAAACUCUCUGCUGUAUAUAGCUUGUAAGGAAUGAAAAAAAUA
rnacentral:lncRNA from 1 species